AACGUAGGAGACAAACGUUAUCCGGAGUUACUGGGCGUAAAGGGCGUGUAGGUGGUUUCGUAAGUCUGGCGUGAAAUUUCUCGGCUUAACCGAGGCAGGUCGUCGGAUACUGCGGGACUUGAGGACGGUAGAGGCGUGUGGAAUUCCCGGUGUAGUGGUGAAAUGCGUAGAGAUCGGGAGGAACACCAGUGGCGAAGGCGGCUUGCUGGGCCGGACCUGACGCUGAGACGCGAAGGCGUGGGGAGCGAACGGG
rnacentral:rRNA from 1 species